UUUGAAUGAUAUGCACAAAUUGAAUAAAAAAUAAAGCCAAAAAGCAUGACAGAAAAUACUUCAAAAAAAAAAAAUGCAAUAAAAUAACAUAAAAAUUUGGAAAACUAUAGUGACAGUUAACUUAUUUAAUCCAUAAAAUAUUAAUAAAAUUCAUAUUGGCAUCAUAAUCGUGGCAAAAUGACAAAACAAGUAUGAACAAUGUUUGCUUCAAAAAACAAAAGUAUGAACAAUGUUAGUAUUAAAGUUACUGUAAAAAAAUGUUAGUAUUAAAGUGAUAGAGCACUAUGUAUUAGAAAGUAAUGAAAUUUAUAAAGGAUAGAAAAUAUGUAGAGUAAUUGGCAAAUUCUCUAUUUCAACUUGUCGUGCGUUUAAGAUGACCGAAUUGUGUCGUACAUACUAGCAUUUU
rnacentral:lncRNA from 1 species